rnacentral:tRNA from 1 species
GAGGGUAUAGGUCAGUGGUAGUGUGCCUGCCUCGUGUGCAUAAGGUCCUGGGUUCAAUCCCCAGUACCUCCA